rnacentral:rRNA from 1 species
UUAAGCGACUAAGCGUACACGGUGGAUGCCCUGGCAGUCAGAGGCGAUGAAGGACGUGCUAAUCUGCGAUAAGCGUCGGUAAGGUGAUAUGAACCGUUAUAACCGGCGAUUUCCGAAUGGGGAAACCCAGUGUGAUUCGUCACACUAUCAUUAACUGAAUCCAUAGGUUAAUGAGGCGAACCGGGGGAACUGAAACAUCUAAGUACCCCGAGGAAAAGAAAUCAACCGAGAUUCCCCCAGUAGCGGCGAGCGAACGGGGAGCAGCCCAGAGCCUGAAUCAGUGUGUGUGUUAGUGGAAGCGUCUGGAAAGGCGUGCGAUACAGGGUGACAGCCCCGUACACAAAAAUGCACAUAUUGUGAGCUCGAUGAGUAGGGCGGGACACGUGGUAUCCUGUCUGAAUAUGGGGGGACCAUCCUCCAAGGCUAAAUACUCCUGACUGACCGAUAGUGAACCAGUACCGUGAGGGAAAGGCGAAAAGAACCCCGGCGAGGGGAGUGAAAAAGAACCUGAAACCGUGUACGUACAAGCAGUGGGAGCACGCUUAGGCGUGUGACUGCGUACCUUUUGUAUAAUGGGUCAGCGACUUAUAUUCUGUAGCAAGGUUAACCGAAUAGGGGAGCCGAAGGGAAACCGAGUCUUAACUGGGCGUUAAGUUGCAGGGUAUAGACCCGAAACCCGGUGAUCUAGCCAUGGGCAGGUUGAAGGUUGGGUAACACUAACUGGAGGACCGAACCGACUAAUGUUGAAAAAUUAGCGGAUGACUUGUGGCUGGGGGUGAAAGGCCAAUCAAACCGGGAGAUAGCUGGUUCUCCCCGAAAGCUAUUUAGGUAGCGCCUCGUGAAUUCAUCUCCGGGGGUAGAGCACUGUUUCGGCAAGGGGGUCAUCCCGACUUACCAACCCGAUGCAAACUGCGAAUACCGGAGAAUGUUAUCACGGGAGACACACGGCGGGUGCUAACGUCCGUCGUGAAGAGGGAAACAACCCAGACCGCCAGCUAAGGUCCCAAAGUCAUGGUUAAGUGGGAAACGAUGUGGGAAGGCCCAGACAGCCAGGAUGUUGGCUUAGAAGCAGCCAUCAUUUAAAGAAAGCGUAAUAGCUCACUGGUCGAGUCGGCCUGCGCGGAAGAUGUAACGGGGCUAAACCAUGCACCGAAGCUGCGGCAGCGACACUAUGUGUUGUUGGGUAGGGGAGCGUUCUGUAAGCCUGUGAAGGUGUACUGUGAGGUAUGCUGGAGGUAUCAGAAGUGCGAAUGCUGACAUAAGUAACGAUAAAGCGGGUGAAAAGCCCGCUCGCCGGAAGACCAAGGGUUCCUGUCCAACGUUAAUCGGGGCAGGGUGAGUCGACUCCUAAGGCGAGGCCGAAAGGCGUAGUCGAUGGGAAACAGGUUAAUAUUCCUGUACUUGGUGUUACUGCGAAGGGGGACGGAGAAGGCUAUGUUGGCCGGGCGACGGUUGUCCCGGUUUAAGCGUGUAGGCUGGUUUUCCAGGCAAAUCCGGAAAACUAAGGCUGAGGCGUGAUGACGAGGCACUACGGUGCUGAAGCAACAAAUGCCCUGCUUCCAGGAAAAGCCUCUAAGCAUCAGGUAACAUCAAAUCGUACCCCAAACCGACACAGGUGGUCAGGUAGAGAAUACCAAGGCGCUUGAGAGAACUCGGGUGAAGGAACUAGGCAAAAUGGUGCCGUAACUUCGGGAGAAGGCACGCUGAUAUGUAGGUGAAGUCCCUCGCGGAUGGAGCUGAAAUCAGUCGAAGAUACCAGCUGGCUGCAACUGUUUAUUAAAAACACAGCACUGUGCAAACACGAAAGUGGACGUAUACGGUGUGACGCCUGCCCGGUGCCGGAAGGUUAAUUGAUGGGGUCAGCGCAAGCGAAGCUCUUGAUCGAAGCCCCGGUAAACGGCGGCCGUAACUAUAACGGUCCUAAGGUAGCGAAAUUCCUUGUCGGGUAAGUUCCGACCUGCACGAAUGGCGUAAUGAUGGCCAGGCUGUCUCCACCCGAGACUCAGUGAAAUUGAACUCGCUGUGAAGAUGCAGUGUACCCGCGGCAAGACGGAAAGACCCCGUGAACCUUUACUAUAGCUUGACACUGAACAUUGAGCCUUGAUGUGUAGGAUAGGUGGGAGGCUUUGAAGUGUGGACGCCAGUCUGCAUGGAGCCGACCUUGAAAUACCACCCUUUAAUGUUUGAUGUUCUAACGUUGACCCGUAAUCCGGGUUGCGGACAGUGUCUGGUGGGUAGUUUGACUGGGGCGGUCUCCUCCUAAAGAGUAACGGAGGAGCACGAAGGUUGGCUAAUCCUGGUCGGACAUCAGGAGGUUAGUGCAAUGGCAUAAGCCAGCUUGACUGCGAGCGUGACGGCGCGAGCAGGUGCGAAAGCAGGUCAUAGUGAUCCGGUGGUUCUGAAUGGAAGGGCCAUCGCUCAACGGAUAAAAGGUACUCCGGGGAUAACAGGCUGAUACCGCCCAAGAGUUCAUAUCGACGGCGGUGUUUGGCACCUCGAUGUCGGCUCAUCACAUCCUGGGGCUGAAGUAGGUCCCAAGGGUAUGGCUGUUCGCCAUUUAAAGUGGUACGCGAGCUGGGUUUAGAACGUCGUGAGACAGUUCGGUCCCUAUCUGCCGUGGGCGCUGGAGAACUGAGGGGGGCUGCUCCUAGUACGAGAGGACCGGAGUGGACGCAUCACUGGUGUUCGGGUUGUCAUGCCAAUGGCACUGCCCGGUAGCUAAAUGCGGAAGAGAUAAGUGCUGAAAGCAUCUAAGCACGAAACUUGCCCCGAGAUGAGUUCUCCCUGACUCCUUGAGAGUCCUGAAGGAACGUUGAAGACGACGACGUUGAUAGGUCGGGUGUGUAAGCGCAGCGAUGCGUUGAGCUAACCGGUACUAAUGAACCGUGAGGCUUAACCUU